rnacentral:lncRNA from 1 species
UGGAAGGUUGUAGUAUUGGUAAGCUGCUCUCUGGAGAGGGGAAUGGGGUUCGCACUCUGUCCAGCAAAGUCGAAAUCACGGACUUCACCUUAAAGCAGGUCCUCACUGCAGACCACUGAGCACAGACUGGAUGUGAUUCUGGCUCCUCACAGCUUUUUGGUGUCACGCUUGCCCGGGACUGAACACAGUAUGCCACACACCACUGGCAGGUUGGAGGCUGGUUUUUAUACAGAGGUGACUCACAGGGCGGAUCACCAGCCUGCUGCUGCAGGUCACCAGUCAGGCAGAAGUCCCAUCAGCCAUGGCUGCGGGGAAGACGAUGUUACAAGGACUACCUGGUACAGUCACACCAGACACAAGUAAGGACCCAUGGGCACUGAGCAGGGCAGGAUGGGUAGGACGGCAAGAGUCCCUGGCAGCCGAUAACCGCACCUUCUUGACACUGGAUUAGGAACCAAGAAGCCCAGGAGCCUCAAGACCCCAUGAUAUACCUGCCCGGGGGGCUAGCCUAAAACCCGCUCUGUAGCUGGGGCUGACCUUGAUCAUAGCUGAGAUUACAGGCCUGUCUUACCAUCCAGUUUCUACUUUCUAGAGCUGCCUUGAGGUGAAACAACACAGAUACAGGGACAUUUAUCAAAGUACUCUUCAGAGCUGGCACACAGAGGUAUCUAAUUAGUAAUUCUUUUUUGUUUUGUGGAGCUGAGGACUCAGGGCCUUAAUUAUGCUAAGUAAGCAUUCUACCACAGAGCCCCAGUCAUUGUUAUUCAUUCUGAGACAGGGUUUUGUUAAUACAUAUCCUAGGCUUGCCUUGGACGUACUCUGGAGCCCAGACAGACCUUGACCUUUUACCUAUUGGCCUUAACCCCCAAGCAGCUGGAAUGACAGGCCGGCAUGCCCUGGCUUCAAUAAAUAAUUCCUACAUUCUCAGAACCUUCCUCUGUCCAACAAGGUGGAAGCCGCCUCUGCAGACUGGUUAGGGCAUGGCUACCUUGGAAGACUCCUUGGAGCCUGUAGCCCCUGGGGUACCCAGGGCCCCUGAAUACACAGUGCCAGGACAGCUGAUAGGGGAGGGAGGCUGUACCCCCUGGGAGGUCCCUGCAGAAGCUGGGUACACACUGGAGGCAUUGGGGUUAGGACCAAAGUGGUUCUGCACAUAGCACAGGCCGGACGCAGGCUGGUAUGGAGGUAGGCUGGGCAUGUGGCCAGGAGGCCAGGAGGCCAGUUUCUGGCCACUGGCAUGCUGCAUCUGGGUGACAGGAUAACUUGGAGUCAGAUGAGGGUGGCAACUCUGUGUGGGGUAGGAGCCAGGUGCAGGGUUCAGCCUGGAAAGGAAUAAGAGAAGACAGUGACUCUCUGCAAGGUACACGGCGCCAAGUCCUGAGGUAACAGCAGGGGUGGGACCAUAGCCAGCACUAGGUUUCAAUUCAAGGAAGAAGAAAGAUUGACUUUGGGAGUUGGGGGACAGGGUUUCCUGUGGCUUAGGCAUCGUUGAAUUGCCAGUGUAGAUAAGAAUGACCUGGAACUGUGGCUCCUACCCGUAUCCUCAGAACAUUUAGAUUACAGGCAUGGUGGGGCAUAACAGGCACGGCUGGCUGUGCAGUGCUCAGGAUGAAAUUCAGAAAUUCAUGCAUACUGGACUGUACUGGCUGGUUUUGUAUCAACUUGACACAGCUGGAGUUAUCACAGAGAAAGGAGCUUCAGUUGAGGAAAUGCCUCCAUGAGAUCCAACUGUAAAGCAUUUUCUCAAUUAGUGAUCAAGGGGGAGGGCCCCUUGUGGGUGGUGCCAUCUCUGGGCUGGUAGUCUUGGGUUCUAUAAAAGAGCAGGCUGAGCAAGGCAGUAAAGAACAUCCCGGGCUGGUGAGAUGGCUCAGUGGGUAAGAGCACCUGACUGCUCUUCCGAAGGUCCAGAGUUCAAAU